CAAAUAAGCAAAUCACAUAGUCGAUUUAUAGCCUUCCUCCUCCUAUAAUCAUCUUUUUCUCAAAAUUUUACAUCUAAGAGGGAUUUAUUCAUACUAAUUUUACUUAAUUAGUGAGAAUGCCUUUUUACGCGAAAAUCGACACUUUUAGGUGAAGAUUCCCGGUUACUCAACAUUUCACUUAUUCAAGUUGCAAUGCAUACUCUUAAUUCAAGUACCUUUUUACGCGAAAAUCGACAUUUGUAGAUGCCAACCCCCG
rnacentral:lncRNA from 1 species